UACGUAGGGUGCGAGCGUUAAUCGGAAUUACUGGGCGUAAAGCGUGCGCAGGCGGUUCGUUGUGUCUGAUGUGAAAGCCCCGGGCUCAACUUGGGAAUGGCAUUGGAAACUGGCGAGCUAGAGUGUGGCAGAGGGGGGGGUGGAAUUCCGCGUGUAGCAGUGAAAUGCGUAGAGAUGCGGAGGAACACCGAUGGCGAAGGCAGCCCCCUGGGCUAGCACUGACGCUCAGGCACGAAAGCGUGGGGAGCGAACAGG
rnacentral:rRNA from 1 species